rnacentral:rRNA from 1 species
UACGGAGGGUGCGAGCGUUGUCCGGAAUCACUGGGCGUAAAGGGCGCGUAGGCGGCCUGGCAAGUCGAUGGUGAAAGCCCGAGGCUCAACUUCGGGUCGGCCACUGAUACUGCUGGGCUUGAGUCGACUAGAGGCAGAUGGAAUUCCGGGUGUAGCGGUGGAAUGCGUAGAGAUCCGGAAGAACACCGGUGGCGAAGGCGGUCUGCUGGGGUCGAACUGACGCUGAGGCGCGACAGCGUGGGGAGCGAACAGG